GAUUCCCCUAGUAACGGCGAGUGAAGAGGGAAAAGCUCAAAUUUAAAAUCUGGCGGUCUACGGCCGUCCGAGUUGUAAUCUAGAGAAGUGUUUUCCGCGCUGGACCGUGUACAAGUCCUUUGGAACAAGGCGUCAUAGAGGGUGAGAAUCCCGUCUACGACACGGACUACCAAGCGCUUUGUGAUACACUCUCAACGAGUCGAGUUGUUUGGGAAUGCAGCUCAAAAUGGGUGGUAAAUUCCAUCUAAAGCUAAAUAUAGGCGAAAGACCGAUAGCGAACAAGUACCGUGAGGGAAAGAUGAAAAGCACUUUGGAAAGAGAGUUAAACAGUACGUGAAAUUGUUGAAAGGGAAACGCUUGAAGUCAGUCGCGUCUUCAGAAAUUCAGCUUGGGCUUCUGCCUGGUGUACUUUUCUGUGGGACGGGCCAGCAUCAGUUUCGGCUGCCAGAAAAAGGUGGGAGGAAGGUGGCACCUCCGGGUGUGUUAUAGCCUCUGAUCGUAUGUGGCAGCUGGGACUGAGGACCGCAACACGCCUUUA
rnacentral:rRNA from 1 species